rnacentral:rRNA from 1 species
GAGUAAUGCGUUGGUGACCUGCCUUGUAGUGGGGACAACGCUGGAAACGGUGGCUAAUACCCCAGAUGCCAUUGUGUUUGGAAAACAAUGUCUAAAGCUACGGUGCUACAAGAGGGGCCAACGUCCCAUCAGCUAGUUGGUGAGGUAACGGCUCACCAAGGCAAAGACGGGUAGGGGCGUGAGAGCGUGACCCCCACACUGGUACUGACACACGGACCAGAUACCUACGGGUAGCAGCAGCAAGGAAUAUUGCGCAAUGGACGAAAGUCUGACGCAGCAACGCCGCGUGGAGGAUGAAGGCCUUCGGGUUGUAAACUCCUUUUCUGAGGGAAUAGAAAGGAAGGUACCUCAGGAAUAAGCUCCGGCUAACUACGUG